UACGAAGGGAGCUAGCGUUGUUCGGAAUCACUGGGCGUAAAGCGCACGUAGGCGGAUCGUUUAGUCAGGGGUGAAAUCCUGGAGCUCAACUCCAGAACUGCCUUUGAUACUGAAGAUCUUGAGUUCGGGAGAGGUGAGUGGAACUGCGAGUGUAGAGGUGAAAUUCGUAGAUAUUCGCAAGAACACCAGUGGCGAAGGCGGCUCACUGGCCCGAUACUGACGCUGAGGCACGAAAGCGUGGGGAGCAAACAGG
rnacentral:rRNA from 1 species